UGCAAGUCGUACGCGGUGGCAACCCGAGUGGCGAACGGGUGCGUAACACGUGAGGAACCUACCCCGAAGUGGGGGAUAACACCGGGAAACCGGUGCUAAUACCGCAUACGCUCCCCGGACCGCAUGGUCCAGGGAGCAAAGCCUCCGGGCGCUUCGGGACGGCCUCGCGGCCUAUCAGCUUGUUGGUGGGGUAACGGCCCACCAAGGCGACGACGGGUAGCUGGUCUGAGAGGACGAUCAGCCACACUGGGACUGAGACACGGCCCAGACUCCUACGGGAGGCAGCAGUGGGGAAUAUUGCGCAAUGGGCGAAAGCCUGACGCAGCAACGCCGCGUGGAGGACGAAGGCCUUCGGGUUGUAAACUCCUUUCAGCAGGGACGAAACUGACGGUACCUGCAGAAGAAGCCCCGGCUAACUACGUGCCAGCAGCCGCGGUAAGACGUAGGGGGCGAGCGUUGUCCGGAUUUACUGGGCGUAAAGAGCUCGUAGGCGGCUUGGCAAGUCGGACGUGGAAUCACCAGGCUCAACCUGGUGUCGCCAUCCGAUACUGCCAUGGCUUCGAGUCCGGUAGAGGACCGUGGAAUUCCUGGUGUAGCGGUGAAAUGCGCAGAUAUCAGGGAGAACACCGAUGGCGAAGGCAGCGGCCUGGGCCGGCACUGACGCUGAGGAGCGAAAGCGUGGGGAGCAAACAGAUUAGAUACCCUGGUAGU
rnacentral:rRNA from 1 species